GAUGAACGCUGGCGGCGUGCCUAAUACAUGCAAGUCGAGCGAACGGACGAGAAGCUUGCUUUUCUGAUGUUAGCGGCGGACGGGUGAGUAACACGUGGAUAACCUACCUAUAAGACUGGGAUAACUUCGGGAAACCGGAGCUAAUACCGGAUAAUAUUUUGAACCGCAUGGUUCAAAAGUGAAAGACGGUCUUGCUGUCACUUAUAGAUGGAUCCGCGCUGCAUUAGCUAGUUGGUAAGGUAACGGCUUAUCAAGGCAACGAUGCAUAGCCGACCUGAGAGAGUGAUCGCCCACACUGGAACGGAGACACGGUCCAGACUCCUACGGGAGGCAGCAGUAGGGAAUCUUCCGCAAUGGGCGAAAGCCUGACGGAGCAACGCCGCGUGAGAGAUGAAGGUCUUCGGAUCGUAAAACUCUGUUAUUAGGGAAGAACAUAUGUGUAAGUAACUGUGCACAUCGUGACGGUACCUAAUCAGAAAGCCACGGCUAACUACGUG
rnacentral:rRNA from 1 species